rnacentral:misc_RNA from 1 species
GUGAAUCAUCAAAUUUUUGAACGCAAAUUGCACUCUCCUCGGAGAGUAUGCCUGUUUGAGGGUCAGCCUAUAAAAAAUCGACAUCGUUGCUGUUUCGCGGUGGCGUUCGUCGGAAAUGGGGUAUUCUUAAAUCUUUUUGAUUUAGGCGAUUUAAAAUUUUCUUUUGUUUCAUUGAACUUUUCUAGGAUUUUUUUCUUUACACUUUUAAGUUAUCGAUUUUUAUU